UAAGAAGAAUGAGACAAAAAAAUUGGU
rnacentral:piRNA from 1 species